CCUACGGGUGGCAGCAGUGGGGAAUAUUGGACAAUGGGGGCAACCCUGAUCCAGCCAUGCCGCGUGUGUGAAGAAGGCCCUCGGGUUGUAAAGCACUUUCAGUGAGGAAGAACGCCUGGUGGUUAAUACCCAUCAGGAAAGACAUCACUCACAGAAGAAGCACCGGCUAACUCCGUGCCAGCAGCCGCGGUAAUACGGAGGGUGCGAGCGUUAAUCGGAAUUACUGGGCGUAAAGCGCGCGUAGGUGGCUUGAUAAGCCGGUUGUGAAAGCCCCGGGCUCAACCUGGGAACGGCAUCCGGAACUGGCAAGCUAGAGUGCAGGAGAGGAGGGUAGAAUUCCCGGUGUAGCGGUGAAAUGCGUAGAGAUCGGGAGGAAUACCAGUGGCGAAGGCGGCCUUCUGGACUGACACUGACACUGAGGUGCGAAAGCGUGGGUAGCAAACAGGAUUAGAUACCCUUGUAGUC
rnacentral:rRNA from 1 species